AGAGUUUNNUCCUGGCUCAGAAUGAACGCUGGCGGCGUGCUUAACACAUGCAAGUCGUACGAGAACACUCUAGCUUGCUAGGGUAAGUAAAGUGGCGCACGGGUGAGUAACGCGUGGGUAAUCUACCUUCGAAUUGGGGAUAACGUUGCGAAAGCGACGCUAAUACCGAAUAACAUCCAUUAAUCUUCGGGUUUUUGGAUCAAGGGUGGCCUCUACAUGUAAGCUACUGUUUGAAGAUGAGCCCGCGUACCAUUAGCUUGUUGGUGGGGUAAAGGCCUACCAAGGCUUCGAUGGUUAGCUGGUCUGAGAGGAUGAUCAGCCACACUGGAACUGACACACGGUCCAGACUCCUACGGGAGGCAGCAGUGAGGAAUUUUGCGCAAUGGGGGAAACCCUGACGCAGCAACGCCGCGUGAGUGAUGAAGGCUUUCGGGUCGUAAAGCUCUGUCAAGUGGGAAGAACCUGCAGUAUGCUAAUAUCAUAUUGCACUGACGGUACCACUGAAGGAAGCACCGGCUAACUCCGUGCCAGCAGCCGCGGUAAUACGGGGGGUGCAAGCGUUAUUCGGAAUCAUUGGGCGUAAAGAGCACGUAGGCGGCCUGGUAAGUCAGAUGUGAAAGCCCGGGGCUUAACCCCGGAAGUGCAUUUGAUACUGUCAGGCUUGAGUAUGGGAGAGGGAAGUGGAAUUCCUGGUGUAGAGGUGAAAUUCGUAGAUAUCAGGAGGAACACCGGUGGCGAAGGCGACUUCCUGGACCAAUACUGACGCUGAGGUGCGAAGGCGUGGGUAGCAAACAGGAUUAGAUACCCUGGUAGUCCACGCAGUAAACGUUGUUCACUAGGUGUAGCGGGUAUUGACCCCUGCUGUGCCGCAGUUAACGCAUUAAGUGAACCGCCUGGGGAGUACGGCCGCAAGGUUAAAACUCAAAGGAAUUGACGG
rnacentral:rRNA from 1 species